UACGUAGGUGGCGAACGUUAUCCGGAUUUACUGGGCGUAAAGGGUCCGCAGGCGGUUUGAUGAGGUCUGACGUAACAUAUCCUGGCUUAACUAGGAAGGGCCGUUGGAAACCGAUAAACUAGACUCACGCAGAGGUCGGUGGAAUUCCCGGUGUAGUGGUGGAAUGCGUAGAUAUCGGGAGGAACGCCAAAAGUGAAGACAGCCGGCUGGGCGAUGAGUGACGCUGAGGGACGAAAGCGUAGGGAGCGAACAGG
rnacentral:rRNA from 1 species